rnacentral:rRNA from 1 species
AUGGGCGGAGGCGGCUUCGUGUCCACGCUCCGGUGGCUGCCGGACACCGGCGCCGCGCUGCGCUCGCCCUACGACCUCCUCCGCGGCUGGCCGGGGCUGCUGCUCGACCACCCGGCCGUCGACGCCGUGCUCUGGGCCGCCGUCACCGCCGUCGAGUCCGUCGCCAUCGCGGGCAUGGUCUGCGCCUUCUUCCUCUGCUGCGGCUGCACCUUGUAG